rnacentral:misc_RNA from 1 species
GAUGAAGAACGUAGCGAAAUGCGAUAAGUAAUGUGAAUUGCAGAUUUCAGUGAAUCAUCGAAUCUUUGAACGCACAUUGCGCCCGCCAGUAUUCUGGCGGGCAUGCCUGUUCGAGCGUCAUUUCAACCAUCAAGCGCCUCGCUUGUGUUGGGGCCCUGCGGCUGCCGCAGGCCCCUAAAUCCAGUGGCGGGCUCGUCGUCGUACCGAGUGCAGUAAACAUCCUCGCUCAGGGAACCCGACGGGUGCCGGCCGUGAAACCCCCCCUCCUCAAGGUUGACCUCGGAUCAGGUAGGAAUACCCGCUGAACUUAAGCAUAUCAAUAAGCGGAGGA